GAUGAACGCUGGCGGCGUGCCUAAUACAUGCAAGUCGAGCGAACAGACGAGGAGCUUGCUCCUCUGACGUUAGCGGCGGACGGGUGAGUAACACGUGGAUAACCUACCUAUAAGACUGGGAUAACUUCGGGAAACCGGAGCUAAUACCGGAUAACAUGCUGAACCGUAUGGUUCAACAGUGAAAGACGGUCUUGCUGUCACUUAUAGAUGGAUCCGCGCCGCAUUAGCUAGUUGGUAAGGUAACGGCUUACCAAGGCAACGAUGCGUAGCCGACCUGAGAGGGUGAUCGGCCACACGGGAACUGAGACACGGUCCAUACGCCUACGGGAGGCAGCAGUAGGGAAUCUUCCGCAAUGGGCGAGAGCCUUACGGAACAACGCCGCGUGUGUGAAGAAGGUCUUCGGAUCGUAAAACUCUGUUAUUAGGGAAGAACAAAUGUGUAAGUAACUAUGCACGUCUUGACGGUACCUAAUCAGAAAGCCACGGCUAACUACGUG
rnacentral:rRNA from 1 species